AAGAACCAGCCUCCCUAUCUUUUACAGGGAGCCUCAAAAUAACAUGCGCCCAGUAAGAGAGAAAGUCACAUAAACACCGUUCACACACAAACACUCAGAUUCACUUACGAGCCGGGGCAAGGAAGCACAUAGAGGCUUUUCUGAAAUGCCUUCUCUCUGCCGCACCAACGCAAGGACACGCCUAGAACCCCCGGGGCACCUACGUCGACAGAGGCCUGGAUACUGUGGCGACACACGUGUGCAAACAGACAUGGUCAGACCCAGGCACACGCCCCGCUGUGGACCCGUCCACUUCCCCGGGGGACCCAGGUUUUAGCCUGAACAACGCAAGCCACAGAGGAUGUGCAGCAUGGCCAGUCCGCUGGUGAGUGUGGACGAGAACGGUCUCAAACGGUCCCCUAGAACGACUCGUGGUUUGGAAACAGAAGAAGUUACAUGUCAGUCACGGUGGCAAGAAAGCAGAGCUGGGAGAAGGUUCACAACCAACACAGCGGACCUCCGACUUGGUCAGUGCCCAAUGUGGCCCCCACGCCGCAUCCCUGCCUUCCUAGCUUGGAGGUAGAACAGAGCAGUCACUGCCCUCGAUGGCCAUUGUGCGUCUUGUCGAUCUCCCCCUUCUAAGGUAGAUUUGGGAAUUGAGCCGAAAGGUCAUCACUGAAUCGGCAUAAGCAAGAGUACGGUUAAGAACGCCCAUCUGCCUCAGUGGCUCUGAAGGACCACGUGUGAGUAUGAGUUGAAGAUGAAAGGGACGCUCACUACAUGAACAAAAUCCAGAGGAAGCUAAUCGGUACGGAGAAAUGGCCACCAUGGGGGACCGAGGGGCUUCUGUUUCAACAGCUCCUUUUCUGUGAGGCCUGAUCUACUUUGGUUCCCACCACGAUUCCCAUGAACCCACCAAGCAACCGUCCAAUAAAAUACAAGUCCCCAUGCUGUCA
rnacentral:lncRNA from 1 species